rnacentral:lncRNA from 1 species
UUGAAUUAUUUUUUGGAAUGUAAUCUGGAGCGUUGUGGUUCAAUUUACUUGCAACAGCUUUCAUUUUUUCAUUCCAACUUAAAUUUGCAGCUUUCCUUUGCAAUUUAGGCUCAUUUUGCUCCUCAUUGUCCUCUCCUGAAGAAUUGUAAUCAUCUUUUUGGCAUUCUUUUACAGAUGAGUUACCAUCUGAAUCUUCGUCCCAGCUUUCGACAUCAUCAAAUUGGCAUUGGUCCCAGAGUUUCUAUUUAAUUACCAAAUCUCUCAUGUUAGCAAGAGCUACUUGUUUGUUCUUAGCAUUGAAGCUUAAAAAUUACACACACUCAUUGACAUCUUCGUCGACAUAUGUUUUUGGAACGGGAGGAUAGCUUGAAACCUUCUGAAUCAUUCAUUCAUACACUUGUCCUUUAUCUUUAGUGUCAUUUGUACGCGC